ACGGGGUGCAGCAGGCGCGAAACCUCCUCAAUGCACUUACGUGCGAAGGGGCUACCUCGAGUGCCACCUGAUGAAGGUGGCUUUUCCUAGGUCUAAAAAGCCUUGGGAAUAAGAGGGGGGCAAGACUGGUGUCAGCCGCCGCGGUAACACCAGCCCCUCGAGUGGUGGGGAUGAUUAUUGGGCCUAAAGCGUCCGUAGCCUGCCGUAUAAGUUUCCCGUUAAAUCCAGCGUCUCAAGCGUUGGACUGCGGGAAAUACUGUACGGCUAGAGAGUGGGAGAGGUCAGCGGUAUUCUGGGGGUAGGGGCGAAAUCCUUUGAUCCCCGGAGGACCACCAGUGGCGAAGGCUGCUGACUAGAACACGUCUGACGGUCAGGGACGAAAGCUGGGGUAGCGAACCGGAUUAGAUACCCGGGUAGUCCCAGCCGUAAACGAUGCAUGCUAGGUGUUGGGUUGGCCACGAGCCACCCCAGUGCCGCAGGGAAGCCGUUAAGCAUGCCGCCUGGGAAGUACGAUCGCAAGG
rnacentral:rRNA from 1 species